GACGAACGCUGGCGGCGUGCUUAACACAUGCAAGUCGAACGAAGAGCGACGGAAGCUUGCUUCUAUCAAUCUUAGUGGCGAACGGGUGAGUAACGCGUAAUCAACCUGCCCUUCAGAGGGGGACAACAGUUGGAAACGACUGCUAAUACCGCAUACGAUCUAACCUCGGCAUCGAGGAUAGAUGAAAGGUGGCCUCUACAUGUAAGCUAUCACUGAAGGAGGGGAUUGCGUCUGAUUAGCUAGUUGGAGGGGUAACGGCCCACCAAGGCGAUGAUCAGUAGCCGGUCUGAGAGGAUGAACGGCCACAUUGGGACUGAGACACGGCCCAGACUCCUACGGGAGGCAGCAGUGGGGAAUCUUCCGCAAUGGACGAAAGUCUGACGGAGCAACGCCGCGUGAGUGAUGACGACCUUCGGGUUGUAAAGCUCUGUUAAUCGGGACGAAAGGCCUUCUUGCGAAUAGUGAGAGGGAUUGACGGUACCGGAAGAGAAAGCCACGGCUAACUACGUG
rnacentral:rRNA from 1 species